rnacentral:rRNA from 1 species
GAUGAACGCUGGCGGCGUGCCUAAUACAUGCAAGUCGAGCGAACGGACGAGAAGCUUGCUUCUCUGAGGUUAGCGGCGGACGGGUGAGUAACACGUGGAUAACCUACCUAUCAGACUGGGAUAACUUCGGGAAACCGGAGCUAAUACCGGAUGAUAUUUUGAACCUCAUGGUUCAAGAGUGAAAGACGGUCUUGCUGUCACUUAUAGAUUGAUCCGCGCUGCAUUAGCUAGUUGGUAAGGUAACGGCUUACCAAGGCAACGAUGCAUAGCCGACCUGAGAGGGAGAUUGGCCAGCCGGUAAGAGAGAAACGGCCGAGACUCUGACGGGAGGCAGCAGUAGGGAAUCUUACGCAAUGGGCGAAAGCCGGACGGAGCAACGCCGCGUGAGGGAUGAAGGUCUUCGGAUCGUAAAACGCUGUUAUUAGGGAAGAACAAAUGUGUAAGUAACUGUGCACAUCUUGACGGUACCUAAUCAGAAAGCUACGGCUAACUACGUG